rnacentral:rRNA from 1 species
AGCGAACACUGGCGGCAGGCUUAACACAUGCAAGUCGAGCGGGCCCUUCGGGGUCAGCGGCGGACGGGUGAGUAACGCGUGGGAACGUGCCUUCUGGUCUGGAAUAACCCUGGGAAACUAGGGCUAAUACCGGAUACGCCCUUUUGGGGAAAGGUUUACUGCCGGAAGAUCGGCCCGCGUCUGAUUAGCUAGUUGGUGGGGUAACGGCCUACCAAGGCGACGAUCAGUAGCUGGUCUGAGAGGAUGAUCAGCCACACUGGGACUGAGACACGGCCCAGACUCCUACGGGAGGCAGCAGUGGGGAAUAUUGGACAAUGGGCGCAAGCCUGAUCCAGCCAUGCCGCGUGAGUGAUGAAGGCCUUAGGGUUGUAAAGCUCUUUUAUCCGGGACGAUAAUGACGGUACCGGAGGAAUAAGCCCCGGCUAACUUCGUG